rnacentral:miRNA from 10 species
GACCAGCCAUCCUGGUUUUCCUGGGACUGAGGGGUUUCCCAGGACAGGGGGCUUUCAGUGCUUAAAC